UAUCGAAAUCAUCAAGGUGGUCGAGUGGAUCCUCCAUUGGCAAACCAUGGAAUUUGUUCCCCUGAAUCAUCGAGAUGAGACCACUCUUAAUCUCGAAGUUGUUGUUCUGGAUAGCAGCAGGUGCAAUUCCCUUCCUCUAACGGUGAUCACGUGGUGCAUCUCCAGCACCAAUGUUGGAAGGGCCGUUUUGUUGAUUCUGUUCUUCAGCCAUAUCGAGUGGUUGCUGAGGUACAGGGUUGACUGUGGUUCUCCUUUUUCUAAGUUUGCGGGCUGUGCGGUUGAUGUUGUCAUUGAAAAGGAGGUUCUGGUUGCCUGUUGAUCGAGUUCGCAUACAGCAGAGGUGUACCUGGAUCAAGAAGACAACAAGAAAAACACACAGUUAGUAAUUGAAAAGAAAAUUGAAAAAGAACUUGAUCUAAGCAAGUCUGAAAUCUCAAAUGUAACAAACAAACACCCAAUUGGCAACGGCGCCAAAUUGAUAAUAAGUUUUUAGUCAGUUAUCCUAAAACACCAAUCAUGUCGUUGUAGUAUUUUAGGUUGUCAAUCCAAAUGGGUGUGAUGCUAACAAUCAAGAUGUGAUCAGAAGUCACUAAGUCAAGCCAAGCAAUAACAGGUUUUGGUGCGUUCAAACAGUCCUAAGUGAACAUGCAGAAAACAGAAAAUCAAGCAGAAACAAAUAAACACUCGACCAACACAGCUCUUUGCAGAGCACUGGGUGUGGUCGAGUGAUAGGUCGAGUAACAGACAGAUAAUGUAACAGCGAUACUCGACUGCAUAGUCUGUUGCCAGACAACUGGGUGGUCGAGUAUGAGGUCGAGUAACAGUAAAGAAUUGGAGAAACUAAGCAACAGAUGACAGGAUGUAGUACACAACAGUAGAGUAAACAAUAAAAUCAAUCAGAUAAAGAAUUCCUAAGGAUGGGGUAAUUGAGUAGUUUUGUUUCCUCAAUUUACAGGUGAUUGACAUGCUCAAUAAAUUAACCCUAGACAACAAGUUCAUCAACCAAAUCUAAGUGCCACCGCAACAGAGACUCUCAAGCUAACCUAGUCCCAGACUCAAUCACCAUUGACGAGAGCUAACCUAACAAGCAUUACGAAUCAACAAGUUAAAGCCAAAAUGCUCCCUGCAACCAAUACCUUGGUACAGGGUCACGAAUCUCUGGAAUUAGUGGUUCAAACAUUUCAUCGAACACCUUUUGGGCGCGGAAAUGUCUGGACUCAAAUUCCAGUUGAUCAGAAAGCAAUAGGCAUUAAGAACAACUAAUCCAGAAGGGAUCUAUCAACCAAUACUCAAUCACCUAGCAUACUGAGAAUUCUACACUACUCUAACCCAUCCUCAGAAACCUAUUCACUACUCAGACAUCAUAAUAGAAAGCAUAAACGUUGAACAAAUUGAAAACAUGAUAACAAUAAUGUAACAGCAGGAUGAUAACAGAAUGAACAACAGUAAACGAAAUCAAGAACAGAAACUGAAUACUGAAUACUGAAUAGAUAAAGAGAAAUCCGGAUUACAAAAAGUCUAGAACACAAGGUCUGCGGAAAUAGAAUUAGAUAAAAAACUUCUUGUCUGCGAAAAUGAGAAGUACAUGCUACUUAUAGCUAAAUAUCCCGAAAACCCUAAUACUCAAAACGAUGAAGUAUUUGGACGGGUUAAGAACAGUACUCGACCCACGUGGUCGAGUGAAUAGCUGGAGUCUUCUUAUCUUCCUUGUGCUCGUGUGUCUGGUUGAGUGCGGAAUGAAGAAGGCUCUGAAGCUUGUCAUCGAGUAUGCAGUCGAGUGGUGUCAAAAGAUACUCGACUUCCAGGUUGAGUGACGAGGUCGAGUGGUGGUCUGAUGAUGGAGGUGAAGACACUCGACCUCAUGGUCGAGUAAAGUGAUCGAGUGAUGGUCUGGUGAUGGAGAUGAGGGCACUAG
rnacentral:sRNA from 1 species